GACGAACGCUGGCGGCGUGCUUAACACAUGCAAGUCGAACGCUGAAGCUCAGCUUUUGUUGGGUGGAUGAGUGGCGAACGGGUGAGUAACACGUGAGUAACCUGCCCCCUUCUUUGGGAUAACGCCCGGAAACGGGUGCUAAUACUGGAUAUUCACUGGUCUUCGCAUGGGGGUUGGUGGAAAGGGUUUUUCUGGUGGGGGAUGGGCUCGCGGCCUAUCAGCUUGUUGGUGGGGUGAUGGCCUACCAAGGCUUUGACGGGUAGCCGGCCUGAGAGGGUGACCGGGCAAAUGGGGACUGGGAUACGGCCAAGAUGCCUACGGGGGGCAGCGGGGGGGAAAAUGGCACAAGGGGGGCAAGCCGGAUGCAGGGGCGCCGGGGGGGGGAUGGGGGCCUUGGGGUUGUGAACCUUUUUCGCUAAUGGUAAAGCCGCAAAAAUGGUUGUGGUGGGGGUAGGGGGUAAAGAAGCGCCGGCUAACUACGG
rnacentral:rRNA from 1 species